rnacentral:rRNA from 1 species
GAUGAACGCUGGCGGCGUGCCUAAUACAUGCAAGUCGAGCGAACAGACGAGGAGCUUGUUCCUUCGACGUUAGCGGCGGACGGGUGAGUAACACGUAGGUAAUCUACCUAUAAGACUGGGAUAAUUUCGGGAAACCGGAGCUAAUACCGGAUAAUAUUCCGCACCGCAGGGUUCGUUAGUGAAAGACGGCUUUGCUAUCUCUUAUCGAUGGAUCUGCGCCGUAUUAGCUAGUUGGUAAGGUAACGGCUUACCAAGGCAACGAUACGUAGCCGACCUGAGAGGAGGGUCGGCCACACUGGAGCUGAGACACGGUCCAGACUCCUACGGGAGGCAGCAGUAGGGAAUCUUCCGCAGAGGGCGAAAGCCUGACGGAGCAACGCCGCGUGAGUGAUGAAGGUCUUCGGAUCGUAAAACUCUGUUAUGAGGGAAGAACAAACGUGUAAGUAACUGUGCACGUCUUGACGGUACCUAAUCAGAAAGCCACGGCUAACUACGUG